GGCCGCAGAAUUUUAACUGUGCAAAGGUAGCAUAAUCAUUAGUUUUUUAAUUGAAAGCUGGUAUGAAUGGUUGGACGAGGUACUAGCUGUUUCACAUUAAAUGUUAUAAUUUUAUUUUUUGGUUAAAAAGCCAAAAUAUUUUUAAAAGACGAGAAGACCCUAUAGAUCUUUAUAAUUCUUUUAUUACUGAUUAUGAAGAAUAUUUUUGUUAGUAUUAAUUAGGUUAUUUUGUUGGGGUGACAGAGAAAUUUAUUUAACUUUCUUUAUUUUUUGUACAUUAAUUUUUGAUUUUUUUGAUCCUUUAUUAAGAUUGUAAGAUUAAGUUACCUUAGGGAUAACAGCGUAAUCUUUUUGGAGAGUUCAUAUCGAUGAGAAGGAUUGCGACCUCGAUGUUGGAUUAA
rnacentral:rRNA from 1 species